AUGACCUAUGAAUUGACAGACU
rnacentral:miRNA from 5 species